UUUGUACACACCGCCCGUCACACCAUGGAAGCUGGUCACGCCCGAAGUCGUUACCCUAACCAUUCGCGGAGGGGGACGCCGAAGGUAGGACUGGUGACUGGGGUGAAGUCGUAACAAGGUAGCCGUACCGGAAGGUGUGGCUGGAUCACCUCCUUUUUAGGGAGACCCGACUCAAUUCAAAAGUCAAAACUCACUCAUUCAAAAGCAAGAGUUUUUGGAAGUUUGGAUUUAUAAUAAAACUUUGAAUUGGUUUUAUCCCGAGGUCGGUCGUAAGGUAAGUGUAAGCUUUCAAACUAUAAGUUAGGUUCGGAUAUGGGCUAUUAGCUCAGGUGGUUAGAGCGCACCCCUGAUAAGGGUGAGGUCCCUGGUUCGAGUCCAGGAUGGCCCACCUGAAAACAGUAAACAGUGUGCAGUAAACAGUGGUCAUAAAGAAAAAAUGAGAACUGUGAACUGAUAACUGUGAACUGAAAUUUAGGGGGGUAUAGCUCAGUUGGUAGAGCGCCUGCUUUGCAAGCAGGAUGUCAGGAGUUCGAGUCUCCUUACCUCCACCUGCGCCCUAAGUAAUUAACUUUUGUGAUUUCACCCUCGUUUGGUGUGCUCAGAAAGUAGAGUGCACCUUGUCAGAAAAGCAAAAGCAAGAUUAUCAUCCGAGUGUAAUUGGAGAAGAUUCAGCAUCUUGUGAUUUGAAGCAAGAAUGCUGGGAAAUUUCCAGCAAAAGAACCUUGAAAACUGCAUAGAAACGCGAAAAAUGUCAGGUAGUUAACUGUAAUUCACAGUUAAAACUUCCAUAAAAAACAGCAAUGAUUGUUUGUAGUCAAGCAAUGAAAGGCGAAUGGUGGAUACCUAGGCACACAGAG
rnacentral:misc_RNA from 1 species